CGUGCAAGGCAUCACGGAAGGAAACGCGAGUUCAUCAAAUAGAAAAGCCCUCUGAAAUCAUGUUUAAAAGAAGUUUCAUUAAAAAAAUUUGCUUCUUUACAUGCAAACUUUCAAUCAUUCCACCCCUUUAUCCUAUCUCACAUGGGUUUGUUGUUCUCGCUGUCUCUUCAUCAAUCUCUGGCUCUUUCUUGAGAAGACACAGCAGAGAAACUGAAUAUGGCAGUGCCGUGGAGCAUGAGUCUCUGGAUGGCGAAGAUGGUGUGGAUUGCUUUGAGUGGGUGGGUAUCUUCGUGCCUGACUGUUGCUGACGAGGUCGCUAGUUCUCUUCGAUCCGGUGAUAUUGGUCCCUUCAAUGUUGGAUGAUUCAAAAACCUAAUUCACUGUUCACCUUUGCCUCGGUUCUGGUUCGUCUCGCGAAGUCAUUUUUAUACUCUUUCGUAAUCGGUUUUAUCUGUUUCUGAAACCAUAGUUGUUUAAUUAGCAAAAGGAUUUAUUAAACAAAUUGGCCGUGCUUCCUUUCCCCUCUACAUAUCUGUUUUUGCAUCCUAUUAUUUCUGAAUUGGCUGUCAGAUGGAAGCUAAUAUAUUAUAUUGCAUUCUUGGUGAAGUAUUAGAAGGUGAUAUGGUUGCAGAAUAUUAGAGCGGUGAUUCAUUUAGUUCAGAUGGAUUGCUUGGGGGAAAAGGGUAUAAAUCAACGAUCAGGUAUUAUAGGACAUUGUACGAAACUGGUUGGAGGGAAGAGUAUUUGAUUAAAGGAACACUGGACAUGACAGCUCUAGAUAAUUCUGGGGUUCUUGUCUUAGCUUAGCUAUCAUGUAUAGUUUUUUUUUAAAAAAAAAAAUUAAAAUCAAGGAUCGAACCAAUUCCAUGACGUCCUCACUGGCAUCACCCCGCCCUUGCUUGAGCUUUGCCAAGGCGAGGGGCAAUCUUUUGAGAUUGAAUGCGUAUAGAAACUCUCAUGACCAAUUUAGGUCAUGAUUUGAAGAUUUUGGCGGCAGCAUCAAGUUGGUCCAUAUUUAUGACAUGUUCCUCUUAACCAAGAGGUUUAACUCCCCAAUGACCAUGUACAAAGAAGGUUGGAAUGAUUCAACUUUGGAACUAUGCUGUGCCCAGUUGAUUAGAUGUGUGGAUACUUUUGCAAUCAGCACAUCAUUAUAAACUUAAAGUCAGUACGAAUUUAGAGGUUCUUACCUGGAGUUCUUGAAUCAGUUCUGUGGAGGCUACGGAAAGAAGGGGAUAAGAUUCAUGUUCUAAAACGUCGCCUUCAAUUCCAGUGUCAGUCUUUUUUGGCCAAAACAAAAAAAUCCAGUGUCAGUCUGGUGUAGAGAUCUCACUUCUUCUUCUCUGUUUUUUUUCCCCCUCGAUAGCCAUAUGAUUUGAUAUGAACUAUUCCGCGGACUUGAAACCGUACUUGUAGGAUUACUCUAGUGAUGGAGUUUCCAGAUGGUACAAUCUGUAUAUAUAUGUCUCCGGCAAGGGGGGCAAAAGCACACUUAUUUGUGAAAACAGUUUUGAGCAUCGGGUUUCCCUUA